AUAAUGGCCACUACUCUACUCCACUCUCUGCAAUGGAUUCCACAUGGCUCCACCACUCUCUGGCAAGUCGCGACAACGGACACUACUCCACUCUCCGUAACAAACUCCACGUGACCCUGAACGGCCCCUGACACUACUCCUCUCUGCAACAAACUCUGCAUGGUCAUGAACGGCCCACUACCAGGUGGUUACAGACGUCGCUAUCAAUCAGUUUCGCUCUCCGUCUAUAAAAAGGGACCCCC
rnacentral:lncRNA from 1 species